GGCGAAACGAAACUUGUGAAUCGUGCAUUUGCUCUUCAUGGUAGCUGCCAAAAAAUCGAAUCAAACUUAUGGGACACUGGAUUACAGGUUGCUGCCACUACUCCAUGUGCCCGCAAUUGUCUUGCGUGUAUGAUUACACUAACGGCGUCGCCCACCACGGCGGAAGUGUUUUGCGUACACGCGUUUCAGCAUGAAGCCUGCAGGUGGACGUAAAUUGUAGAAGGCAGCUAGUGGGGGAGAAGAUCAUGGUCAUAGGUCAUGUGACUCCUGGAGCUCCCAGUGGGUUCCCUUGUGGAGUACUUUUCAGAACACACACACACACACAGUUUGCUCACAGAACCAACGAGUAGGAUGUUGCUUGAAUACUGAGAGAAAAUGGCGUAACACAUACAAAUAUCGUGUGACACAUAUGACAAUAAAAACAUUUUUCACGAGGGAUGCAUGAAACACUGUCGCAAUAUUGUGUGCAUGAACCAUUGUGUGUGACACAAGCCCUGGGGGCACACCGCCUCGGACACAUUUUGGGAAGCAUAAAACACAGUAUAUACAGAGCUACUAUGGUGGAUGCUUCUUUUUUCUUUUUGGCCGUUAUGAGACAU